CUUCAGAGGAAUAUACUGUCCGACCAUCGCAGACAGUUUUCUGGACAAAGCAGAUGAACAAUCAUACCAAAAGGUUUCUAGGAGACAGCGACAAAAAUCCCUCAUCUUGGUGAAUCUCAUAGAUUUGGCACUGAAAGUUGGACUAAUAAUCAUCUACACAGUUGGCAUCGUAGAUG